CCAAUAGCGUAUAUUAAAGUUGUUGUGGUUAAAAAGCUCGUAGUUGAACCUUGGGCCUGGCUGGCCGGUCCGCCUCACCGCGUGUACUGGUCCGGCCGGGCCUUUCCCUCUGUGGAACCCCAUGCCCUUCACUGGGUGUGGCGGGGAAACAGGACUUUUACUGUUAAAAAAUUAGAGUGCUCCAGGCAGGCCUAUGCUCGAAUACAUUAGCAUGGAAUAAUAGAAUAGGACGUGUGGUUCUAUUUUGUUGGUUUCUAGGACCGCCGUAAUGAUUAAUAGGGACAGUCGGGGGCAUCAGUAUUCAAUUGUCAGAGGUGAAAUUCUUGGAUUUAUUGAAGACUAACUACUGCGAAAGCAUUUGCCAAGGAUGUUUUCAUUAAUCAGGAACGAAAGUUAGGGGAUCGAAGACGAUCAGAUACCGUCGUAGUCUUAACCAUAAACUAUGCCGACGAGGGAUCGGACGAUGUUAUUAUUUGACUCGUUCGGCACCUUACGAGAAACCAAAGUGUUUGGGUC
rnacentral:misc_RNA from 1 species